AUAUCAUCAUCUUGCUCAGAGAGACCUCUGGACACACCCUAUGCGCAACCUUCUCACCCCCUCCCCCCCCAAAUAAAGCAACUAUGCAGCAAUGUGACCAUCUACUUUCAGAGUGCAGGUUGAGCCACCCACUUCAUGUAUGUGUCUCAGAGCAACCAGGAAGAAGCUGGCAAUCACUGUCUUCCUUCCUCACUGGGCAUCUGCUAAGUGUGUGGGGCCAUUCAGGAUCAGAAUCCACGAUGGAGAACUCUGAAGUGCAUCCUUUCCUUUGCCUGUUCACCUUGUUCUCAUUCAACAACGAGACGUCCCUGGUUCUGAAAUCUUGGCUCUGUGUGGUUUGGACUUUGCUUGCCUUCUCUGUGCCCGUUUCCUCACUUGGAAAAGACAUGGCAUCAACUGUUUUUGAAUUCAGAUUCUUCCUACAUGUUAUGCACCUUGGUGCCUCUUCUUAGGCACAGAUAACAGCUACUGGAUUAGUUCUUCAUGCCACUGUGAGAGUUUUUUCAAUGUUGUCUCCCUCUUUUUCUCUCUCUAUCUCAUGCUCUCUUUCUCUGUGUUUCUCUCUCUCUC